rnacentral:rRNA from 1 species
CCGUUCAAUACUGCGAAACUUGAGGGCAGCAGAGGGAGGUGGAAUUCCCGGAGUAGCGGUGAAAUGCGUAAGAUAUCGGGAGGAACACCAGUGGCGAAGGCGGCCUCCUGGGCUGCUCCUGACGCUGAAGGCGAAAGCUAGGGGAGCGAACGGGAUUAGAAACCCCGGUAGUCCUAGCCGUAAACGAUGGAUGCUAGGUUUGGGGGGUGUAGAUUCCCUCCGUGCCGCAGUUAACGCGUUAAGCAUCCCGCCUGGGGAGUACGGCCGCAAGGCUAAAACUCAAACGAAUUGACGGGGGCCCGCACAAGCAGCGGAGCGUGUGGUUUAAUUCGAUGCUACACGAAGAACCUUACCUGGGCUUGACAUACAGGUAGUAGUGAAGUGAAAGCGGAUCGAUCCUUCGGGGAGCCUGUACAGGUGCUGCAUGGCUGUCGUCAGCUCGUGCCGUGAGGUGUCGGGUUAAGUCCCGUAACGAGCGCAACCCUUGCUCUUAGUUAUACGUGUCUAAGAGGACUGCCGGCGGUAAGCCGGGGGAAGGUGGGGAUGACGUCAAGUCAGCAUGGCCUUUAUGUCCAGGGCUACACACACGCUACAAUGGCCGGUACAAUGGGUAGCUAAACCGCGAGGUGGAGCCAAUCCUGUAAAGCCGGUCUCAGUUCGAAUUGCAGGCUGCAACUCGCCUGCAUGAAGUCGGAGUUGCUAG